rnacentral:rRNA from 1 species
AUUGAACGCAGGCGGCAUGCCUUACACAUGCAAGUCGAACGGUAACGCGGGGCAACCUGGCGACGAGUGGCGAACGGGUGAGUAAUGUAUCGGAACGUGCCCAGUUGUGGGGGAUAACUGCUCGAAAGAGCAGCUAAUACCGCAUACGACCUGAGGGUGAAAGCGGGGGAUCGCAAGACCUCGCGCAAUUGGAGCGGCCGAUAUCAGAUUAGGUAGUUGGUUGGGGAAAGGCCCACCAAGCCAACGAUCUGUGGCUGGUCGGAGAGGACGAGCAGCCACCCUGGGACUGACACACGGCCCCGACUCCUACGGGAGGCAGCAGUGGGGAAUUUUGGACAAUGGACGCAAGUCUGAUCCCGCCAUGCCGCGUGCGGGAAGAAGGCCUUCGGGUUGUAAACCGCUUUUGUCAGGGAAGAAAAGGGCGACUCUAAUACAGUUGCCUCAUGACGGUACCUGAAGAAUAAGCACCGGCUAACUACGUGCCAGCCGCCGCUGUAAAAC